rnacentral:rRNA from 1 species
AUUGAACGCUGGCGGCAGGCCUAACACAUGCAAGUCGAACGAGUGGCGGACGGGUGAGUAAUGUCUGGGAAACUGCCCGAUGGAGGGGGAUAACUACUGGAAACGGUAGCUAAUACCGCAUACCAUCGGAUGUGCCCAGCUGGGCUUCGCUAGUAGGUGGGGUAACGGCUCACCUAGGCGACGAUCCCUAGCUGGUCUGAGAGGAUGACCAGCCACACUGGAACAGAGACACGGUCCAGACUCCUACGGGAGGCUGCAGUGGGGAAUAUGGGACAAUGGGCGCGAGCCUGAUGCAGCCAUGCCGCGUGUAUGAAGGAGGCCUUCGGUUUGUAAAGCACGUGCAGCGAGGAGGAGGUAUUCGCAAAAGAAGCACCCGACAACUCCGGGCCAGCAGCCGCGGUAAUAC